UGUCAAGGGCUGGGAAUCGAACCCACGACCUUCCGCUUACCGGGCAGAUGCCAUGACCACUAGGCUACCCUGGAC